rnacentral:rRNA from 1 species
AUGAACGCUAGCGACAGGCCUAACACAUGCAAGUCAGGGGCAGCACAAGGAGCAAUCUGAGGUGGCGACCGGCGCACGGGCGAGUAACACGUAUGCAACCUGCCUGUAAGCGGGGAAUAACCCGUUGAAAGACGGACUAAUACCGCAUAAUACUAAAUUACUGCAUGGUAAUUUAUUUAAACAUUUAUGGCUUACAGAUGGGCAUGCGCAUGAUUAGCUAGUUGGAGAGGUAACGGCUCCCCAAGGCAACGAUCAUUAGGGGUUCUGAGAGGAAGGUCCCCCACACUGGUACUGAGACACGGACCAGACUCCUACGGGAGGCAGCAGUGAGGAAUAUUGGUCAAUGGACGAGAGUCUGAACCAGCCAAGUCGCGUGCAGGAAGAAUGUCCUUAAUGGAUUGUAAACUGCUUUUGCAGGGGAAUAAAGUGCAUCACGUGUGAUGUUUUGUAUGUACUCUGCGAAUAAGGAUCGGCUAACUCCGUGCCAGCCGCUGC